rnacentral:rRNA from 1 species
GGCCUAACACAUGCAAGUCGAACGCCCCGCAAGGGGAGUGGCAGACGGGUGAGUAACACGUGGGAACGUACCCUUUGGUUCGGAACAACUCCGGGAAACUGGAGCUAAUACCGGAUAAGCCCCUCGGGGGAAAGAUUUAUCGCCUAAGGAUCGGCCCGCGUCGGAUUAGCUAGUUGGCGGGGUAAAAGCCUACCAAGGCGACGAUCCGUAGCUGGUCUGAGAGGAUGACCAGCCACACUGGGACUGAGACACGGCCCAGACUCCUACGGGAGGCAGCAGUGGGGAAUAUUGGACAAUGGGCGCAAGCCUGAUCCAGCCAUGCCGCGUGAGUGAUGAAGGCCUUAGGGUUGUAAAGCUCUUUCGCCAGGGACGAUAAUGACGGUACCUGGAUAAGAAGCCCCGGCUAACUUCGUGCCAGCAGCCGCGGUAAUACGAAGGGGGCUAGCGUUGUUCGGAAUUACUGGGCGUAAAGCGCAUGUAGGCGGAUCGCUAAGUCA